AUGCGCGUCAUCUUGUGCAACAUAAUACAUAACAUCACUAUUCUAUCACCGAAACACAGCCGUGGAGUACUCAUCAAAGAAGAAAAGGAAAAAUACACAUACCUGAGCCUUUAUCUCGGCAUUUCUCGUCAACACAACACCGUCAAAGAGGCGCCGAACACUUCUCGGGUUGGAAGGCGAAUCGGAAAUGCGAAAGAAAGGUCGAACGAAUCUGAGACGGUGAUGAGAAUCACAGAAGCGGAGAUGACGAUGGAUGAGCGGCGGGGUGUGGUGAUUGAAGGGCGUUGUCGCGAUGAAGACGGAGGUCGUCGGAGUCGAAAGAUUGAAGCUAAAGAGAUCUCACGACGGUAG